CAGCAGACCCUUAUACCGGCCAGGUCCCUUCCUUGUAGGAGCCCAGAGUACAACAGCUGCAAACAGCAGCCUGCUCAGCAGUGUAUCCAUUCUGCUACUUGUGCAGAUUGUCCAAGUGACCUUGGAGACAGCC
rnacentral:snoRNA from 1 species